CUCAAAGGAAUUGACGGGGGCCCGCACAAGCGGAGGAACAUGUGGUUUAAUUCGAUGAUACGCGAGGAACCUUACCCGGGCUUGAAAUGCAGAAGACGUACCGAGAAAUCGGUAUUCCAGCAAUGGCUUCUGUGUAGGUGCUGCAUGGUUGUCGUCAGCUCGUGCCGUGAGGUGUCGGCUUAAGUGCCAUAACGAGCGCAACCCUUAUCAUUAGUUACUAACAGGUUAAGCUGAGGACUCUAAUGAGACUGCCACCGUAAGGUGUGAGGAAGGUGGGGAUGACGUCAAAUCAGCACGGCCCUUACGUCCGGGGCGACACACGUGUUACAAUGGGGGGUACAGAGGGUCGCUACCACGCGAGUGGAUGCCAAUCUCGAAAGCCUCUCUCAGUUCGGAUUGGAGUCUGCAACUCGACUCCAUGAAGCUGGAUUCGCUAGUAAUCGCGCAUCAGCCAUGGCGCGGUGAAUACGUUCCCGGGCCUUGUACACACCGCCCGUCAAGCCAUGGAAGCCG
rnacentral:rRNA from 1 species